rnacentral:rRNA from 1 species
UACGUAGGGUGCAAGCGUUUGUCCGGAAUUAUUGGGCGUAAAGAGCUCGUAGGCGGUUUGUCGCGUCUGCUGUGAAAACCCGAGGCUCAACCUCGGGCCUGCAGUGGGUACGGGCAGACUAGAGUGCGGUAGGGGAGAUUGGAAUUCCUGGUGUAGCGGUGGAAUGCGCAGAUAUCAGGAGGAACACCGAUGGCGAAGGCAGGUCUCUGGGCCACUACUGACGCUGAGAAGACGAAAGCAUGGGGAGCGAACAGG